rfam:Triticum urartu cultivar G1812 contig49893, whole genome shotgun sequence.
GUCAUACUCUCUUUGUCCGAAAAAAGCUUGUCCCUCAAAUGAAUGUAUCUAGCACUAACUUGAUGCUAGAUACAUUCAUUUGAGGGACAAGCUUUUUUCGGACAAAGAGAGUAUGAC